rnacentral:rRNA from 1 species
UACGUAGGGAGCGAGCGUUAUCCGGAAUUAUUGGGCGUAAAGGGUGCGUAGAUGGUUGAUAUAAGUCUUUUGUAAAAAUGCUAGGCUCAACCUAGUAGGGCAAAAGAUACUGAUGAACUAGAGUACGGCAGAGGCAAGUGGAACUACAUGUGUAGCGGUAAAAUGCGUAGAUAUAUGGAAGAACACCAGUGGCGAAGGCGGCCGCCUGGCCUGUUGCUGACGCUGAGGCACGAAAGCGUGGGGAGCAAAUAGG